ensembl:lncRNA
CAGGUGGUGGGGUUUGGUGUGGCUUUGCUCAGCCGGGAGCUCCAAACCUGCAGCUCCGGAGUGGCUUUUGCCAUUAGAAGAAGAUCCGGUGACUACAACUGCUCCUCCAGUUCGGUUUCUCCCUACGGAAGCGCUCACAGUGCUGAGCUUGCCGGAUUUCGAGAAGCAUCUGUUAAACGGGCUGCCACCCGCAUCACACCCGGCGAAGCUCUGGGGCUGCAGCCGCGAUGUUCGGUCCUGGCAGAGUGCUGAACAUGCUGUGGGUCCAGGUGAGCUCCCUCCCAGUGGGAGCAUCCAAUGAAGGCUGCAGCAAAGAGUGGGUGGAAGAGCAGAGCCAGGAGCUGCACGGGCGCAGCAGGUAUGGAGAGGGGUGCUGGGUGUCAGCCAGGAGGGGUGGAAAUGACAAAUAAAACCAUGUAAGAUCUCCUAUGAGCUCUGCAUGAUGUCUCUGGGACAGGAGCCCACUGCUGGAUUUUCCUGGGAGGAGACCCUGCUGCUGCCUUGCUCCAUCCCACCGGGUAAGGCUGUGCUGGGGGUGCCCAAAGCCUCAGGGUGUGCAGGACUGGGGACGCAGGGAGGUGAUGGGGACGUUCCCAGGCUCUUCCAACUCCGGAUAUAAACCAGGAGGAGGGGAAGAGGAAGGCUUUGCUCAGCUGCCAGCAGAGGGGAAGCAGGUGGGGAUGUGGUGUUCGAUGGGUGUCGAAAGCAUCACGGUGCGGUGUCAGCCCUGGGGACGGACAAACAGAUCCCACAGCACCAGGAGCUUGGGGUCAGAGAGCCAAAGUGACACCAAAGUGACAGCCUGAGACACCAACGCCUGCGGGGCCGGGGGCGGCAGCAGCAGCAGCUGCAUCAAUCCUUCCUUCAGAACGCUUCAUUUCUAUCCCCAGCGUCGCUCCUUUUCAUUUUGCAUGUGUCAGCAGCAGCCAGCGGGGCCGCUCUGCUGUCACAUCCCCAUGCACCGUCCCUGCACACAUCGAGCAGACGGAGACGUUUUAAUUAACCAAAUCACAGCGUCGCGUCUCGGUGCCGGAUUGAAGAGGCAGCGCUGGGAGCGAGCGGCUGCUUCCCUGCUGCUGCGCCCAGAAAGGCCCCACGUCCCCAAUGGGAGGCUGAAAGUGACACAGAUGGGGUUGGGUUUUUUUGCCCCUUGAGUCAUUUUCUAUUUGAUUGAGGGAGGAGAUGCGUGG